GUCCAAGCUCAGGUAUAUGUAUUAACAUUGUUCUGUGCAGUACAAACUGCUAAUUUCCUAUUUUCUUCUCCAAUUGCAGGAUCAAUGUGAGCGAUUAUGUGGCCAUAUAUUUUGAUGCACCUUCAUCUACAUGUAGCAGCAGGACUACAAAUGGGGUGGUUUUCAUGGCUCUCGUAAAAGCUGUGAUUGAUGACAAUGUCAAAGUCAAAUUCAUGCGCCGGAACAGCAAUGGUCUGUAUUAAUUUACAGAGGACUGUGAAGCCCAUCAGCCUAAAAAAAGAUGUAAUACAGAAGCUGACUCUACCAACCAGGACCCCUACCCCAGCCGGCAGAGCUUACCUUUAUAAUUUUUAAGAAGGAGAACUGGACAUGUUGGCAGAUAAAUUUCUUUGAAAUAAGAAGUAGAACACAAUUGUGUUCCAGGACAAAAACCUGUAAAUACUUACUAUGCUAUUGGUUUCACAAAUAUGAAUGUCAGUGUAAAUGUUAUAACACAUAACAAACAAGUUUGUGGAAGCCACUGUGCGGAAAUUUAAUUCUUUGCACUAAGAAUAAAUGAUGACAAAGACGCAAGUGAAGGGUAAUGAUACAUUGCUAUGAAUUAACAUAAAUGGUUUCUAUGUGAACAAUUAUUUUAAGUACUUUACUUUCAGUUCAACAUUUUAUCGAAUCUUCAAAAGGAAGGUUAAAUUUCGCUUUGUAUAUUGCCUUUGUAGUUGACAAUAUAGUGUGUUAACAUGUUUGAAGCCUCCGAAACACUACUUUGAACUGAUCCUAUACAUGUAUAUGUUUCCUGAAUGUUUCAACUUUGAUAUGAGAAAAGUGAUUUCCUUGGAAAUUACAUACUUGACAAUAUAUUUCCCUGAGUAUCAGCACAGAUUUGAAAUCCUCAUGGAUGCUAUUAAGUGACUUUGCAAUGUUUGCGUACUGAACAAAAAACUCAUUGUAUUAAGUAAAGAUAAUUUGUAACAUACAUGUACCGUACUUUAUAUUAACAAGUAUUUUUACACUGUAAACAAAUGUUUUACGUGUUAUAUUAGUAAUUUAACAUAUCAUUAACAGUUUAAGUUGAAUUUUUCUUAAUAUGUUACCUAAGUAAUGGACAACAUUUUAUGUUAACAUGAUUGAAGCCUCCGAAACAGGCAUUUUGUUAACCUGAAGCCUCCGAAACACACACAUGAGAAAUUUUUAACUUCCUCAUUUGAAAUGCGAUUUCUUUGGAAUUUGCAUGGUAAUUAGCCUUCACUGAAUGGUAUUUGUAUAAUAAUUUGUAUUUUGCUCCCCCUCUUGGAAGAUAGGUAAAUUUGAAAAAUUAAAUGUCAAAGUCAUAUUUUAUCUUGAAUUUGACAAACGCAUUGAAUUUUUUUAAAGACCAAAUAAGUUUGACCAAAAAAGCUUUAUAAGCCUUUAAGUACAUUAGAAUAGCAAAUGAAAAAUAGCAAUUGAAUUAUGUUUGGAGAACAAAUGUUGUCAUUUAAGUUGAUAGAAUUAAAAUGUUGUUUUUGUUCAAAUUUA
rnacentral:lncRNA from 1 species